GGUCGAUGCGAUUUCUAUAUAUCGGAAGAGAGCUUCAUAUAUUCGUUUAUGUCACUGAUGGCUCAGAAAAACAGUCCACUAGUUCCAGUUUUCAACAAGAGAAUAACAGUUUACCUUGGAUAUGGUCUCUUGAAUUUGGACUUCAGAAGGCUUAUUUCCAAUGCAACAAAAUGUUUACAAGCUCCAAAGAAGGUCAUCAUUAAGGCACCCCUAUCAAUUUCAAAUUUAAUGGGAAUGUUCAUACUACUCAUAACAGGCGAACUUGUAGCAAUGGUAGUCUUUUGCCUUGAGAAUGCUACGGUUAAGUCAUCAGUCUUCUGAAUAGCAGAUUCUCCAAAUUACCACUUUAUGAAAACAAAACGGACACGACCAAG